UUAGACGGUUAUAACCGUCUACAGCCGAAUCCUAUUGUAUAAAUACUUCUUAUUGUAUUCUCUUACCUUAAGAAUGAAUAUUACCAAGUUGAUUCCCUUUUUGAUAUUCAUUUGUUAUCUUCAUUUGUUUCCCUCGGCAUCAUGUUCACCGACAAGCAUGAUAUCCUUUUUGUGCGUCUUAAUGGAAAAAAAUCUACUCUACAUGGGCGUUUCACCUCCAGAUUUUUGUCAAAGGAAAAUAGCUUUGGGGUCAUGUCAAUGAAAGCGAUUUUGCCCUUGAGAAGACGCAGAAGGAUGCCUAUGCCAAGUGGGAAGUCAAAGAUGCACAAGUCAUGGCAUGGAUCAUAGGUUCUGUUGAUCCUAAUAUCGUUCUCCGACCUUUCGCUACGACAGCAAAGAUGUGGGACUACUUGAAGGAAAUAUACAGCCAAGUCUAUAAAGCUUGAACAUGAAAUCGCAAUUUUUCAACAAGAAAAUCUUUCUAUUUCUGAGUUUUAUCCUCAUUUUAUGAAUCUUUGGGCUGAAUACACUGACUCUAUCUAUAAAGAUUUGUCAAGUGAUGGACAAAUUACUGUGCAAAAAGUUCAUGAGAUUACCAAACGCGAUCAAUUUUUGAUGAAAUUGAGAUCUGAUUUUGAGGGACUAAGGUCCAAUCUCAUGAACCGAGCUACUGCCCCAUCCUUGGAUACUUGUCUCAAUGAGCUUCUUCGUGAGGAACAACGUCUUCUCACUCAGACAACCAUAGAACAACAAAAGGCUGUUUCUCUCCUUGUGACAUAUGUUGUACAAGGCCGACCUCGUGGGCGAGACAUGAGUACUGUCCAAUGUUUCUGUUGCAAAGGACAUAGACAUUUUGCUUCCGACUGUCCUAAAAAGUUCUGUAAUUACUGCAAAAGGAUGGUCAUAUCAUUAAAGAAUGUCCGACCAGACCACCGAAGAAAACUGCAACAACCUUCACUGCAUCUGUUGGUCCUUCUACAGCUCCCAUUUAUGUGAACCAGAAUCCGCAUUCCACCAUUCCAGCCUUAACCCCCUGAAAUGGUUCAACAAAUGAUCAUUUCAGCCUUUUCUGCUUUGGGUCUUUCAGGAUCAACAAUCAGGGAAGAUGAUUGCGACGGGGCCUAAAGUUUGACGUCUUUUUCCUUUUUAUUCACUGAAGUCCCCAUGUUCUUUUAUGUCUUUUAUUUCUUGUAAUUCUGCAAUUGUUGAUUUUCAAACAUGGCAUAAGCAUCUUGGUCACCUUAACUCAAAUGUCCUUUAUGACUUGAUGAAAUCUGCAGUUCUUGGCAAUAAAAAUUCCCCAUCUCUCAGGGCUAUUCAAUUUGAUUGCAUUUCUUGUAAACUUGGUAAAAGUAAAAUUCUACCAUUUCUAAUUCAUCAAACAAAUGUAAAUCAACCUUUUGACAUGAUCCAUAGUGAUUUAUGGGGAAUAGCACUUGUUAUAUCU